rnacentral:snRNA from 1 species
AACGUUACAUAGCAUGAAGAGAUGGUUACAUACACAUGUAUUGACGUGUUGCUCCACCGUGAGAUGACCCCAAAUGUGGGUGACUCGGGCGCGUCAUUUUUGCUAGUGGGGGACUGCGUUCGCGCUAUCCCCUG